rnacentral:rRNA from 1 species
CAAUAGCGUAUAUUUAAGUUGUUGCAGUUAAAAAGCUCGUAGUUGGAUUUCGGUUGAGAGCGGCCGGUCCGCCGUUUGGUGUGCACUGGCUGGUCUCAACUUCCUGCGGAGGACGCGCUCUGGGCUUAACGGUCUGGACGUGGAGUCCGCGUGGUUACUUUGAAAAAAUUAGAGUGUUCAAAGCGGGCUUACGCUUGAAUACAUUAGCAUGGAAUAAUGGAAUAGGACUUUGGUGCUAUUUUGUUGGUUUAUGGGACCGAAGUAAUGAUUAACAGGGACAGUUGGGGCCGUUUAUAUUUCGUUGUCAGAGGUGAAAUUCUUGGAUUUACGAAAGAUAAACUUCUGCGAAAGCAUUCGGCAAGGAUGUUUUCAUUGAUCAAGAACGAAAGUUAGGGGAUCGAAGAUGAUUAGAUACCAU